rnacentral:lncRNA from 1 species
GUUAGUGUGCGUUAACGUGUGUGUUAUGCUCACAUGUACUCCAACAUUAUCGUUUUUGUUUUGCGCUUUCUUCACCGUUGUUUUGCAGAGAGUAUGUUUGCAGGGGGAGUUUACAGCAAGGGGGAGUGUAUGUGUUUUGUGAAGAAAGGCAAAAAGGGGGAGUUUGUUGGAGUUAUUUUUCUAACUCCAAAUUAAACUCACAAAUGCUUUGUUAUUGUUUUGCUCUUUCUUCACGUCUUUGGUUGAUAGGAAAUUGACCUAGUCAAGACUUGAGAUUUGAAGCUGUAAACGAAGGUAUUAAGGGGAAGAGUUUCAGUUGCUAAAAAGGAGGAAGUGGAGAUAAAGAGAGAGAAAAGAGAGGAGCUUGUUGGCAGCUCCUAAAAUCAAGGGAGAAGUGGACUAAAUCAAACAACUAUCAAACGGCCACUUCAUCCAUGAUCAAAGCCACGACUUCAAGCCUUGGGAAGCAAGAUUGAGAUGCCUAUAUAUACCAAGGAGAAGUCUCAGUUCAGAUUACGAAGUUUAAAGAUCAAAAUCGAGUCAUUUGAGUGAUCUGUGUACGAAUGCUGUUUAGAGUGUUAGGAUAACAUUGUUUAUAGCAUUCAUUGAUUUCGUCGGAUUUCGGAGUAUAGCUCUUGAAUCCAGUUUCUGUUUGUUAAUGAGAGUGUCUAGUGUUCAAAUACCUAGAGUCUUGUAAAGGUAUUGAACGUGAGUGUUCAUUCUCCAUUUAGUCAUUUUGCCAUAAGGCGUCUUCAAGUUAUAAUUUAUAACUUGAAGAAUUUUUCCAUCUCCUUGUGUCUCCCAUUUUUAUUUCCGCUGCAAUAUUUCUCUGUGUGCACUGGUGUGCUGCCUUACACAGUGUUUAACAUCAAAGUAUGAAGGAAGCAACACUUACAUUUGGCAUCAGAGCCAACACUCGAUACACUGAGUGUGAUCCUCGUUGUUGUUGCAACAGUCACCGCAACAGUUGCUUCCACAUGGAGCCUGGCAAUCUGGGUUUUAUGCGAUCACCAAUUCUUGAUAAUGAAGAGGACCCUAUUUCCAACAGGUAUGGUUCAAAUUAUUAUUCAAAUUUUAUGUGCUUUAAUGCAUGUGUAGGUGACACUGAAGAAAGCACCGAAGAGGCCAUACAUGUCGUCAUAGAGCUAAAAAAGCUUUACGAUAAGCUUCUUGGAAAGUGGAAAAAGCAAGGGCAGGAGCUUGAAAGUACAAGGGACGAGAACACCAAGCUAAAAGCAUCUUUGGCAAAGCUUGAAGCAUUGGUUACUCAAAAGGAAGUCAAGCUCGAGCAUAUCACCAACCAGCUGGACGAAGCUCAAGCUACCAUCGAUAAAUGGAAUUCGAGCCGACAUAGGUAUGAUGAUUUUGUGUCUGUAGGUAGCAUGGAGACUACUGGAUUAGGAUUCAAUGCUGUGCCCGCAGCCGCGCCCGCUGUUAACCCCACACCUGGGAAAACAAAAGUGAAAUCAACCCGUGGGAAGAAGUUUGUGGUUGAAGGAACUCCCAUAGAGCAUAAACAAAAACGGAGAAAAAGGUAUGUAUGCCAUUAUUGCUUUGAAAUUGGUCACAUACAACCGUUUUGUUUUAGGAAAUUCAACGACGAGAAGAGGAUCUUUGUUAACGCAAAGAAAUCUAAAGCUAAGAUGAAGAAAAAAACACAGAAGGUAAGGAGGAAUGUGAUGAGAUGGGUAAGGAAGGAUGAGAUGAAAUGUAAUGUUGUGUUUACUGCUUUUAAGACUAACAUUUCAAGCUCGUGGUACUUCGAUAGCGGAUGUUCCCGUCACAUGACAGGUGACAAUGCGCUCUUGAGUAAAUAUCAGGUAUGUGACGGAGGAUAUGUCUCUUUUGGUGGAGGAUCGAAAGGUAAGAUCAUCGGUAAAGGUAUUUUAAAUGUGCCUGGACUACCUACUCUCAAGAAUGUGUUUCAUGUUAAAGGGCUUAUGGCAAAUCUCAUUAGUAUAAGCCAAUUAUGCGAUGAUAAUUUGCAUGUUAAGUUCAACAAAGAUUCUUGUGAAGUGUAUGAUAGUCAAAAUUGUUGUAUUAUGAAGGGUCAAAGGUCAGUUGAUAAUUGUUAUUUAGCUGAUGAACCAAAAUGCAACAAGGCACAAGUAGACGAUAGCAUGUUGUGGCAUCAACGAUUAGGACAUACUAACUUAAAAUCUUGACAGGCUAUCGAAGAUGGAGGCAGUUCGUGGACUUCCCAUAUGACACAAAAGGGAAAAUUUGUGUGUGAGAGUUGCCAAAAAGAAUGCAGGUUCAUGCUACUCACAGUGUUGUCCAGCAUAUUGAGCAACAUUUCGGCACAACAAGGUGCUUCGAGCUGAUUUAUAUGGAUUUUGUAGGUCCUGUUGAGGUCGAAAGCAUUGGAGGGAAGCGGUAUGUCUGUGUUUUGGUUGAUGAUUUCUCAAGGUACUCUUGGACAUUCUUUUGCGUGAGAAAUCCGAAGCUUUUGAUGUUUUUAAGACCUUGUUUGCUCGUAUUGUUAAUUUGUUUGGUGUGAGUAUUUCAAGAAUCAGGUCUGAUCAUGGCCGUGAGUUUGAGAAUGCGUCAUUCUCAAAGUUUUGUGAAAAUAAGGGGGUCUUUCAAGAGUUUUCGGCUCCCAAGAGGCCACAACAAAAUGGAGUGGUUGAGCGAAAGAAUCGGACUCUGGUGGAAAUGGCAAGAGUGAUGUUAGCCUCGAAGAACUUGUCAAAACGUUUCUGGCAGAGGCUGUGAACACGGCAUGUCACAUUAACAAUCGGGUUAACAUUCGACCAGGUACGUUCAAAACUCCGUAUGAGAUAUUGCGAGGUAAGAAACCAAAUCUCAAAUACUUCCAUGUUUUUGGUUGUGUAUGUUACAUACUGAAUGACAGAGAAUACCUUACAAAAUUUGAUGAUAAAUGUGAUAAAGGUAUUUUUUUGGGGUAUUCUUUGAAUAGUCAAGCUUUUCGGGUUUUUAACUUGAGAAGCCAAACGAUUCAAGAAUCUGUCAAUGUGGUAUUUGAUGAUUUGAGUAGUGUUACAGAUGAGAAGGACAUGGAAUAUCAGGUGGUAGAAGCACUAGUCCCUUCGACAGAUGCAACAGAAGAUGCUGAGGCAACAGAAGCCACCACAUCAAGGAAUGCAACAGAAAAUGUUGAGACAACAGAAGCCACCACAUCACAGAUCCCUGAAGAUCAAAGUGACAACGAAAAAGAUAUNAGGUAUCACAAGCUAUCGUGCAAAGCUUUUUAAUAGUACCCUUUAGAGAUCAUCAAACUUCUAAUGAUCCAAUUAUUGGUUAGCGAACUUUGGAUAAUAAAUCAAGUUCCACAUUUAAAAUUUGAUUUUCAACGUCCUAUUUAUGUCAAAGCUAAAAUGUGUUUAAGGGCUUUAAAAGCUCAUUGAUUUCGUCAGAUUUCGGAGCCUAGCUCUUGAAUCUAGUUUUUGUUUCUUGUAAGAGUGUCGGGUUUUCAAAUCUUAGUCUUGUAAAGGUUUGAACGUGAGUGUUCAUUCUUUGUUUAGUCAUUUUGCCAUAAGGCGUCUUCAAGUUAUAAUUUAUAACUUGAAGAAUUUUUCCAUCUCUUUGUGUCUUCCAUUUUUAUUUCCGCUGCAAUAUUUC